UGUACAGUAACGUUUCGAUUUAAAGAAAACGUGAAAUAUUUCUGACGAGUUAUACUCUUUUUAAAGUCAUGUUUAUAUUUUUAAUUUUUGUUAUUUUGUUUGCACUCGUAGAUUUGUAUAGUCAUAACUACAUGAUUUUUAAUUUUUAAAUUAUUUUGAAUUAUUUAUCGUCUUAAAGAAAAUAUUACACGCGUAUUAUACCGUACAAAUUGUGUCAAUUUACUGUUAGGGAAAACUAUUAACCAACUUUUUGUACAAAUAAAAAUAAAGUUUAAUGUUUUAUUAUCUCUACAAUACUACACUGUUACAAUGUUACAAAAAAAGUGCCGGUACGUGCUUCAAGAAAAGAGCUAAUACAUACUGCGUUGGUACUAGUCGAGGUGCCACUAUUGUAGACGGGAGUUCGUGAAAAUGUGAAAUAUACCAUUAUAAUAUUGAUACGCAUGUGUAACAAUAAAAUACGUUUAUAAUAAAUUAGUUUACUAAUUGUUUGUUUAUUAGUAUUUCUAACUAAUAUUUUAUCAUUUUAAAG